AAUGUUGGGAGAUGAGUGAAGCCCAGUUAGGAGAACUAAGUCAGCUGCCACGGACUUCCUGGAAGGAUGCUAGCUAAUGUGCGUAUGAGCUGCUGAGGCUUUUCUCAGAAUUAAUAUGACCAGGAGGCAUAAAAGCAAAAUAACCCAAACUUACUUGUUUUGAAACUGAAGAAUGGGGCCAACGACAUUCCGCAAAAUUCAUGGAAUUUCUGAUAGUUUCGGUGCAACAGGACCAGACUGGGGCAAUGAGACUGUGGAGCCCCACAGGAACCAGGGAGUUUAAGUCACUGUGAAGGUUCAAAGCUAGGGUGGGAAACGUCUCCAAUAGUUCCCAUGUGAUAUCUUUAGUGUCUGUCCUUCCUCCUGUGCUCCCUCCUCUACUCUGCCCUUCCCUCCCCUACCCCAUUUACCCUUCUUCUUCUGUUUUUUUUUAAUCCUUGAUAAUUCCAUGGCCUCGUUGAGUAUCCCAAAUGAAACACGUAUCUGAAAAUUCAACCCUUACAUCCACAAAUGAGAGAAAGCAUACAGUUUGUCUUCUUGGGUUCAGGAUACGUUACUCAGAAUAAUUGUCUCCAUCCAUUUACCUCAAAUUUCAUUUUUCUUAACACCUGAAUAAUAUUCCAUUGUGUAAAUGUGCACAUUUUCACCGUCUAUCAGGUGAUAGACAUCUAGGCUGUUUCCAUUUCAUAGCUAUUGUGAUGAACAGGGACGAGCAAAUACUUCUAUAGUAGGAUAUGGAGUCCCUUGGGUAUCUAUAGUUAUCCAAGAGUGGUAUACCUGGAUCAUAUGGUAGAUCUGUUUCUAGCGUUUUGAGCAACUUCCGCACUGAUUUCCAUAGGGGCUGUGCCAAUUUACAUUCCCAUUAGCAGUGAAUAAGUGUUCCCUUUCCCUAUAUCCACCCACACCAGCAUUUGUGUGUGUGUGCAUGCUGUUUUGUUUUUUUUAGUUCUUUAUCUUAGUCAUCCCGAUUGCGGUAAGAUGAAAUUCCAAGAAAUUUUUCAUUUGAAUUUUCCUGAUAACUACUUGUCAAUUGUUAGUCCUGCUCAGAAAGUGCUCUCUGUGUGCAAACUGCCUGCUUUCCCCUUUAUCAGAUUUACAGCAUCAGGUCUUAGGUUAAGGUCUUGAUGUCCUUGUUUUGUGCACAAUGAGAAAUAAGAGUCUGGUUUCACUUCUCUACCGUAUAGCUCUUCAGGUUAACCAGCACCGUUUGCUGAAGACGCUAUAGUUUUUGCUAAUGUGUAUUAUUGACCUCUCUGUCAAAACUCAGCUGGCUGUAAGAGUGCAGACUUAUAGGUAUGACCUCAGUCCUAUUCUUUCGAUCAAUGAUUUUGUUUUUAAUGCUAGUGACACGCUGUUUUUAAUCACCACAGCUUGGUAGCAUAAACUUGGUAUCUGGGAUAAUAAUACGUCUAGCAGUUCAUUUGGCUCUGUUGGGUGUUCAUGUUUCUGUAUGAAAUUCAAGAUUAUAUUUUUCAAUGUCGGUGAAGAAUUGCAUUAGAACUGCGAUGAGGAUUACACUGAAUCUGUACAUUGCUUUUGAUAGGUAACUUAUACUCAUCGAAAAGGUCCACCCCAGCAGGCUAGUUUUCAGAGUGCUCGAAGGUGCUAUUCACGUUACCAGAGGAGAAAAGGAAUGAGCAGCCUGUGAACUCUGUGAGCUUCAACAACAACUGGCCUGGCAGACAUGACCAUUGUUGCAGUAGUGGUAUGAAUAUCACAGGAGUAAACCAACCACUUUCUGCUUGAAUUUAAGGCCCACCCCACAAGUUAAAGCAACAUUAUUAGGGCAAAUAACUUGUUGCUAGAUAGUAGAUGUAGUCUAGGCUAGUCUUAAACUCACAGAGAUUCACCUGCCUCUGUCUCCUGAGUGCUAAGAUUAAACAUGUACAUCACACUGGGCAGUGGUGGCGCACACCUUUAAUCCCAGAACUUGGGUGGCAGAGGCAGGCGGAUUUCUGAGUUCGAGGCCAGCCUGGUCUACAGAGUGAGUUCCAGGGCAGCCAGGGCUACACAGAGAAACCCUGUCUCGAAAAAAAAAUUUUUUUUUAACAUUAUUUCACCUGGCUUGGAACAUGUAUGUAUUUUGGGAGAAAUUACAAAACUACCCAAACUGAAGGACAUAAAUCUACAUUCUUGGUUCAUAUAUGGGAAAAUGAAUCAUGCUUGCCCCAGGCCAGAAAGAAAGCUCUCACCAUUGGCAGAAGCCUCUUCCAAGCAGAACACUCCACAGGGUAAAGGAUGGGCAUGAGAGAGUCCGCAGAAGAAGACAAGCUGACCUCGCGGGUAUGCCACCAGCUGCUGCUUCUGGAAACUGAAGGAAGUUUGGAGCCUCUUGAAAUGAUGCAGCACUGUUUUAAGUAGAUGGCUACGGUACUGGCAGUCAGAGUGCACUGUUCCAAAUGCUUGUAAAUUGGUCAUCUAAAGGUUUCUGACCUUGAGUUUUCUUAUCUAUAAAAUGGGAAUUAUAUGCUCUUUAAAAAGAAAGUAUGAGCAUGUACACCUAAGUAUGUGUAUGUGAAUGAAAGUACAUAGACAUAGACUCCUAAGAAUAUUAGGAGGGUCAUUUGAAGGACAUUGUCUCGGAUCUUGAAGGGUUAACAGAGAGAGGGCAUGUGCUUAUGCAAGAGAGAGAAAGAGAGAGAGAAAGAGAGAGAGAGAAAGAGAGAGAGAAACUGAGGACUACCAAGCACAGAAGACAUAGAA
rnacentral:lncRNA from 1 species